AGGCAGGUACGGCCCUGAAAAGGUGCUUGCAAACAACUGUUUUGUAAAGCUAGAAGAUGAAGGAGGAAAGGGGUCUGUUUUCAAAUAUGGAAAACGCAAACUGCAGGUCCCCCACCCCUGUACAGUGACAAUAUCGCACCCUGGCUGGGGAUUAAGGCCGAUUGCUGUGGCGGUCUCUCAGGGUAUUCAAGACAAUUCAGUAGUCUCAACGUGGAUCAGCUCAGAUCCCCAUAGCUAAGCAUGAUAUCGGGGGACACUGUCUUCGUACCUAGAACGCUGGAAGAAUCCGCACUGGGGCAGAGAAGAAAAAGAACAGUUUAGGUUUAAAUUGCUGCUAAAGUACUACAAUUAUAGAGACAGUAAAUUCCUCCUUUGCACAGAUAUACAGGCAGAAGACCAAAAGAAUGAAACAGACCCACACAUUCAGCGUGGUUCCCGCAGCGUUGUCUUGUGCCUGUGCAAUCCUGCAUGCAAUUUACUGAUGUACUUUCUUCUUCUGAAGUGUACAUGGUUUUGGCUUUCAAGUCAGGUUGUGGCACUCACUGCUAAAGGUGACUGAGCGUUGACAUUACUGAUUUCCACAAAAUCAUUUUCAUGAAUACAGAACACUGUUUUAUAGGGGACAAGAAAAGACAGUUCACAUGAACAAAUGAAUGAGCUGAUCCCGCUCUCAUCAAAGCAUCUAAGGGCUGUUUAAAAUGACCAGUAAGCCGCUGCCUCCUUUCUCUAGCAAAUUUCUUUUAACUGGGCCAGCCCUUUCACUGUUAGUCACCAUAAAGGUCUGCGUUAUCACCUCUGUAAAACUUUUUGUCCUGCCCUUAUCAGCAAAUGAUUAAAGCUCCUAUUGAGUAAGCAGAACACUUAAUAAUCUAACUAAUUUCCCUUCCACCUACUCAGUUCUCUUCCACAAGCAGUAUGAGUUGCUUUUGUUGGGUGCUGUUUCAGUGUAUUUAAGAACAUUCCAAUUAUGUACACCUUAGAGAUGGGGUCAUCAAAAAAUUGUAGGAAAGGUUGUUCUGCCUGAAAAGUAGAGUUGUUUUCAUCCCCAAAAUUGAGAGAACCAGUUUUGGAAUUUCUGCUCCUCCUCCUCUGGGACCUGACAGCAACCAGUAGAGACCUGAACUUGAUGCAGCAUUCACAGCUCUGACGAGGAGACAGUCCUCUUCCUGCUCAUUACUAGCGAUUCAACUUAACAGUAUAUUAAACUGGAAAAAAAGCAGAGGUCUGCAAAAGACUGUGACCUCAUCCCUAAUUAAGGCAUGUGCUACAGAAAUCCAAAAGGAUCCUUUAUCUGCAGGGCUUCCUCACAGCUGUUUCAUGGACCCCACUGCAACCUCAGCACAGCUGUAUGCCUCACUGCUUUUGGAUCCUCAGCUACAAAAGAGGGGUUUGGUUUGGUUUUGUUCUAUCUUCAAUAAAGCAGGAUUGGAUUUCUGUAACAGCAGCAAACAAAAGCUCUAGCAAAUGUAUCGGUUAACUUCUCCUUUCUUAAGGCCAAAGAAUUACUUAUCACCCUUAAUUCCGUCAAAGGACACAGGCAUCCAAGUAAGUUACCACAGGGCAAAGCUCGGGUACAGAUACACUACACACAUCGGCACGCCACAGUAACUGCCCACAUUCACUGUAUUGAUCAUAAGGCAGCUUCUCAAUGAGAAGAGGGGGAUAAAGUAACAAACCCAUUUAUGGAAAUUUUUUCCCCCAGAAUUGCCAGCUCCUAGAAGGAAGAACACACUCCAGGCCAAACAGCUUUUUGUUACUUCUAAGCAGUUUGUUUUUAAAAAAACUAAAACCAAGUCCUUAGUGUAAUUAGUUACAGUUCUGUAUAUAAUACCUGAACACAGAUACAGAAUCUGAAAGGGAACCAACAGCAAUAUCAGGGUAGGAAUUUUUAUCCAGGUCCAUGUUUCCAGCAAUAGAGUAACCGAAGAAACUAGUGCCUGUUUUUUCACCAUCAAGAAUCUAAAGAGCAAACAGAUUGAGGGAAUUCAGACAUUUACAAGCUAUAAAAGUUAAAAGCAGUAACAAGUGAACAUCAUUGUCUUAUGGCCAGAAAAAAAAGAGAAGAGAUACAAGGAAAUAGGACCUCUGUGUUCAGGUAAAUGACGCUGAAGUGCCAAGAUGAUUUGCUUUUCUUCCAAGAAGUUACUUUGCAAUAGCAGCAAGUACCAGAAAUGACUGUUUUGCACAGAAAUGUUGCCUAGCUUAUCUUUAUUUAUAGUAUUUAUGCAGUAUAGGCACUUGAAACUGAAAAAGUAUUCUAGAAAGUAUUCCAACAGUAUUCUAGGAAGUGUAAUCAGGUUCAUUCUCACCUUGCAAACUGAACACAGUGGUCCUCAAGAAAAAAAAAGGCAUAAAUGUUUUUUAUUAAAAGUGUAGUAGUCAUAGUAGCAAAAGAGAAAUUGAAGACACUAAUUAUUUUCAAAUCCCCAAAUUUCUUUCAAAAAACCAAAACUUACACAUCUAACAUGCCUUUUUCCUUCUCUACAUAUUAUUGGUGCCAAAGGACUGCCCCAGAAAGAAAAAUGUGUAUUGAAGUCAAGAAUUCCUAAUCUUUCUGGUCAGCAGUGCAAUCUUUGAAGGGUCCUCUGACUUUUCUGCAUACCCACCGCCCCACUAAUAGUAAUGGAAAGGGAGAAGAUGGAUAGCCCUGUCAUUCCUUUAAUUUUGUGCAAGACUAGUUAUACAUAGUAAAGGUUAUUUCAUUACCUGUG